GUGAGGAAUAUUGGACAAUGGAUGGAAAUCUGAUCCAGCCAUGCCGCGUGCAGGAAGACGGCCCUAUGGGUUGUAAACUGCUUUUAUACGGGAGCAAUAAGGUCUAUGCAUAGAUUGAUGAGAGUACCGUAUGAAUAAGCAUCGGCUAACUCCGUGCCAGCAGCCGCGGUAAUACGGAGGAUGCGAGCGUUAUCCGGAUUUAUUGGGUUUAAAGGGUGCGUAGGCGGCUUUGUAAGUCAGCGGUGAAAUUUUGCAGCUUAACUGUAAAAGUGCCGUUGAUACUGUGAAGCUAGGAUUUGGUUGCUGUGGGCGGAAUGUGUGGUGUAGCGGUGAAAUGCAUAGAGAUCACACAGAAUAUCGAUUGCGAAGGCAGCUCACAAAGCCAAUAUUGACGCUGAGGCACGAAAGUGUGGGGAUCAAACAGGAUUAGAAACCCGGGUAGUCC
rnacentral:rRNA from 1 species